rnacentral:lncRNA from 1 species
UGAAAAGUCAUCACUGUGCAAGCCAAGAAAACACAUUCACCAUUGGAUUUGACCUGUAGAGAUGUCAGAUUGAUACCCCUUGUUAGAUAUUGCCAGACCCAUCCCUUGAACUGAAUUCAGGAGAAGUCAGGACACUAACCAGGUCUUGCUGUGUUGCCCAGGCUGGAGCGCAGUGUUGCAAUCUUGGCUCACUGCAACCUCUGCCUCCUGGCUUCAAAUGAUUCUCUUGCCUCAGCCUCCUGAGCAGCUGGGAUUACAGGAAGAGGCAUGCAGCUUCCAUGUUGAAUACCUGGAAUCCAUUUAGACUGGCAAGUAUCCACUACCUGAAAAGCCUUGGGUGCUGAGGAAGCAGCGUUGGAAAGAAUAGAGUGCAUCCAGUCAUGCCAACUGCAGUCUAAGAAUGGUCAGUGAUGUGGCUCCCUGAAGGGGCAAACAAAGCAAAAUAAAUACACACCAGCUGGGCACAGUGGCCCAU